AUUUUUUCCGGUCCGGAAAAAAUCCGAUCCCGUUCCGGUCGCAGCCAUCGCCUAUCGCGGCGCCGCAUCGCUUCUCCACCGUUGCAGCCUGCCACCCGUCGUGGCAGAUCUCGUCGUCGUCCGUCGCGGCUACUCCUGAGUCCUGUAGCCACGCGCCAUCCUCGCUGCCGGGGAAGACCGUCGGGGCGUCCAAUCCGCCGUCGACUGCUGGCCACCGCGUCGAUCUACUCCGUCCCGGCCUCGCCUUCUCCGUCGCGGCAGCGGCAUCGCUGCCCAUCGCGGCUGCUGCCCAUCCAUCCCGCACUUGCCGUCCAUCACAGCCGUCGUGAGUCCACAGCUUGCGUGUUGCAGCUCCAUCCUCACUGCUCACCGUGCUGCAGCCUCUGCUCCACUCUGCUACAGUGCUACUGGUGUUUUCCUGCGGCUGGAUAAUGUACUAGAGUAAGCCAUUUGGAAAGAACUUGGACUCUGCACAAGAAGAAUUCAGCGCCCAACUUGGGGAGUUAUUUCAGGAAAACCAACUCUACUGAUUUGGUCAGUACUUAGGAAAAGAGUUGGUCCACAACCUGAACGCUGUCAUGUUAUACUGGUAUAAUUUAUCAUUUUCUGAAUGGACUAACUGAUGAAGAAACUAAACUACUGGUGAGCACCUUAAUUCCAUCUUGCCAUCGUAGACGGAGUAUAUUAUCUGCACCUAAUUCUGUAUAUAGGGUAUAUAUAUCGUUCCUCAGUUUGACCGAUAGUCAAGUAUCCUCCCAUCCACUAAAGGUAAACACAAUUUCUCUUAUGGUCUCGGAGAAUGCAAGAUAUGGUAUUUCGGGAUUCGAUUUUGAUGCUAUACAGGAACAAUUGCACGUUUUCUCUUGCUGGUGUCCACUUAUCUAUCUGUGUUCAUCCCAUUUUACCUAAAAUGAUUUGCCGUAUUAGUCUGAAGAAUCAGUAGGGAAAUAAGUACAUGCCUGAAGGGCCUCAUAUUCCUGAAACCAAGAGUGCUGCCGUGUCUCUUUGGUUUAAUUAAAUCCUGCCUAUAUCCAAUAGGCCUAAUGGUACUGCUUUUAUGUAGGAUUUGAAGAUUUUACAUUCUGUGUUAGCUCAAUGUGGGUCCAAUUUAUAUGUUUAACUUUUUAGGAUAGGAUUUUAUAUACCUCAAUGUUUCCUUGAUUAUAUAUCUGAAUAUAAUCUGAAUAGUUCUGUAAGGAGGAAAUUUGAUGUUUUGAUAAGUUGAAGGAAAAGUUUCUAUAUCUACGCUCUGAAAUUUAGCGUAUAUGGAGUAUAUUUAGUCAAAUUUAUGCACCUUAAUUUAGCACCUAAAAUCAAGAUCAUCUUACUUGGUAGUCUGGUACAUUAUACAAGAUUGCUGCAUAAUUUUUUUAAUGAAUGCCUGCAGAAAGCAAAUGGUGUUGUUUCAGAUUUCAGAAUGUAAAUUGCCAUAGAUGGAAACACAUGAUAAGACGCUUUAAGUUAUAAGUUACAAUAGCUAAGAUUCUGAAAGUCUGAACUUUGGAAUAUUCAUUGAGAAAAGGUAGCCCUAAAAGUCUGAAUUUGGCUAAAAAGUCUGAAAGUGUGAAAUUCGGAACAUGAAAUGGCUAAUAUUCUGAAAGGCUGAACAUUGGGAUAAUUUUGCAUUACAGGUUAUGAUAAUGGGAUGGAUCAGAUGAAAACAUAACUACAUUAAAUAAUUUUUCAUGAUGAAACUAUAUAUAUAUGUAUAUAUCAACUUUUAGAUCCUUUUUGUAUAUAAAUGUGAAUACUACAUUGAAUUGUUAUGAUUUUAUUGUACCAAACUUCUAUCUCCUAACCACACUAUGUUCUUUCCGUUCACAUAAAUAAGUGGUCAAGCAUAGUCGUGUUUCUUAAGAUAUCCCUUCUGACUUUUCAAAUUGGACACUUUGAUUCGUAGUGUAUCUUUGUAGCUCUGCCACAAGUAAUUUUGCUACUCAACAAAAUACUCUCUCCGUUUUUUAAUAGAUGACGCCGUUGACUUUUUCUCACAUGUUUGACCAUUCGUCUUAUUCAAAAAAUUUAUGCAAAUGUAUAAGAUAUAAAUCACACAUAAAGUACUAUGAGUGAUAAAACAACUCAUAACAAAAUAAAUUAUAAUUACGUAAAUUUUUUGAAUAAGACGAAUGGUCAAACGUGUGAGAAAAAGUCAACAGCGUCAUCUAUUAAAAAACGGAGGUAGUAGCUUGGUAAGAACUGAAGGGUUGGUUGUACAACACAUGCCAGUUGAUUGACAAGAAGAAUCAAUUCUGUAUAAUAUAUCACUUUCACAUUUCUGGUUUGCAACUGAAUCCCAACAUUUAAGGGUGGAGUUGAUAUGGUUUUGGUUUGGCAUGUAUUGUUAUAGGUUAAUGGGAUGUAUAAUGUUGUCUUUGGUGUUGACGAGUUCAAUUUAUGUAUCAUGUUUCCAUAUUUACAGUAUGAAAUCACAACAUUAUGAAUGGAAUGCAUCUCAAGUUUGUUUA